UACGUAGGGUGCGAGCGUUGUCCGGAAUUAUUGGGCGUAAAGGGCUCGUAGGCGGUUUGUCGCGUCGGGAGUGAAAACCCAGGGCUUAACUCUGGGCUUGCUUUCGAUACGGGCAGACUAGAGGUAUGCAGGGGAGAACGGAAUUCCUGGUGUAGCGGUGAGAUGCGCAGAUAUCAGGAGGAACACCGGUGGCGAAGGCGGUUCUCUGGGCAUUACCUGACGCUGAGGAGCGAAAGUGUGGGGAGCGAACAGG
rnacentral:rRNA from 1 species